rnacentral:tRNA from 1 species
GGAGAGGUGGGUGAGUGGCUGAAACCACCGGUUUGCUAAACCGACGUACGUCUCAAGCGUACCACGAGUUCGAAUCUCGUCCUCUCCGCCA